rnacentral:rRNA from 1 species
GAUGAACGCUGGCGGCGUGCCUAAUACAUGCAAGUCGAGCGAACAGACGAGGAGCUUGCUCCUCUGACGUUAGCGGCGGACGGGCGAGUAACACGUGGAUAACCUACCUAUAAGACUGGGAUAACUUCGGGAAACCGGAGCUAAUACCGGAUAAUAUAUUGAACCGCAUGGUUCAAUAGUGAAAGACGGUUUUGCUGUCACUUAUAGAUGGAUCCGCGCCGCAUUAGCUAGUUGGUAAGGUAACGGCUUACCAAGGCAACGAUGCGUAGCCGACCUGAGAGGGUGAUCGGCCACACUGGAACUGAGCCACGGUCCAGACUCCUACGGGAGGCAGCAGUAGGGAAUCUUCCGCAAAGGGCGAAAGCCUGACGGAGCAACGCCGCGUGAGUGAUGAAGGUCUUCGGAUCGUAAAACUCUGUUAUUAGGGAAGAACAAAUGUGUAAGUAACUAUGCACGUCUUGACGGUACCUAAUCAGAAAGCCACGGCUAACUACGUG